GUGUCAGCAGCCGCGGUAAUACAGAGGUCCCAAGCGUUGUUCGGAUUCACUGGGCGUAAAGGGUGCGUAGGUGGUCGGGUAAGUCUGGUGUGAAAUCUCCGAGCUCAACUCGGAAAUGGCAUUGGAUACUAUUCGGCUGGAGGGUUGGAGGGGGGACUGGAAUUCUUGGUGUAGCAGUGAAAUGCGUAGAUAUCAAGAGGAACACCAGUGGCGAAGGCGAGUCCCUAGACAACUCCUGACACUGAGGCACGAAAGCUAGGGGAGCAAACAGGAUUAGAAACCCGCGUAGUCC
rnacentral:rRNA from 1 species